rnacentral:rRNA from 1 species
GCCCCCCUCAAGAUGAGAUUUCCCAAUUAGUAAGACCCCUUGAAGACGACGAGGUUGAUAGGCCUGAGGUGGAAGUGCAGCAAUGCAUGGAGCUGACAGGUACUAAUCGGUCGAGGGCUUAUCCAAAUAAUACCCCA